UACAUAGGGUGCAAGCGUUAUCCGGAAUUAUUGGGCGUAAAGCGUUCCUAGGUGGUUUUGUAAGUUUACGGUGAAAUCCGGUCGCUCAACGAUCGAUCCGCUGUAAAGACUGCAAAACUAGAGAUUGGCAGAGGCUACUGGAAUUCUGCAUGUAGGGGUAAAAUCCGUUGAUAUGCAGAGGAACACCAAAAGCGAAGGCAGGUAGCUGGGCCAUUUCUGACACUCAAGAACGAAAGCGUGGGGAUCAAACAGG
rnacentral:rRNA from 1 species